UAAUAAUAAUUUUCUCAAGGAGAUCUAUUUUGACUACUUUAUUUUAAAAUGUUACCCAUGGCUAGGUAUGGUGGCUCAUGCUGUAAACCCAGCACUUUGGGAGACCAAGGUGGGAGGAUCACUUGAGCCCAGGAGUUCAAGAACGGUCUGGGUAAUAUAGCAAGACCUUGUCUCUACAAAUAAUAAUAAUAAUAAAUAAAUAAAAAUUAUAUUAAAUUAAAGGCUACCAGUAUGGAAAUGAAUAAAUGACGCUCAUGGAGUUCUAAGACAAAAUUCUCUAGAAUCUUCUUUUGGCCACUUAGCACAACUGAAACCCCUUACCCCCAAGAACUUGAUCUCUUCUGAGGGCCUAAGAACCUGAAUGUACAGUUAAACUCUCCUAAGCCAUAACAAACUGUUAUGGCUUAAUGAGCAGCUUAUCAGAACUUAGACGAUGAAAACAGUACAUGGUUUCUCUGUAUUUUCCUGUUUCUUUCUCCUCUAUCAUAGUCCCACUAUCAGGCAGAUGUUCCUUGUAUAUCUGUAAGAUGACAGCAGCAACUCCACAUCUUCCAGUCUCUCAAGAUGAAGUCCUGCCUUCAUCUCCCAAUAUUCCUAGCAAAGGUCUCUGACUGGGACAAGUGCCCAUCUCAUCUAAUGAGACACACACACUGAGUAGCUCAUUACUGGAGCUGGGGUGGAGCCAGUCCAUCCAAGCCACAGACGGGAGCAAGGUGGAGGACUGGUUUUUCAAAUAAAACAGGAAUAUGAUUUUCAAAAAGAAAACUAGCUCACCUCCAAACAACCAGUAUUCCCCAUCCCGAUGUCUGUACUUGCAUCAUCCUCUAGUGGGCCACAGCUCCAUCAUCACUUUAUUCACCUUUGCACCUGCUAAGAGGAGGUCCUUCCCCUCUGGUACCAGAACCACUGGGCUGACAGUUCCUGAGAGAAGGGUCCAUGUCUUGGUUAUCUUUGAGUCCGUCUCCCAGCCCCGUUCUGGCACAGGGUAGGCUUCCUUAAAUGUGUGCUGUCCUACAUGAUAGCUCUUUUUUUGGUUACUUGGCCUCUCUUGAGCAGCCAGUACCCAAUUAUCACAGGCCUCCUAGGACUCAUUUUUAAUGUCCACGUCCCACUUCUCUGGCCCAUACAUCUAAAUAUGAUAUUGCAGUGUAGUAUUAUUAAUGUUGCCAUUGUUUUCUAAUAAGGAGAUAAAGUGUUUUUGGUCCAGUUUUGGGAUUGACCUUUCUUUCUCCUUGCAAGUUUGUUGACAUGGUGUCGAUCACUGAUGAGAGUUUGCACAAGUUCCUGGGUCUUAUCUAACUCAUUUUUGGGAAACUCUGUGUUAGAUUUCUCUCUACUUUCAUAUUUAACUGUAUUGCAUCUAUUCUUGUCCUAUCUGUGACAAAGAGGAAACUGGCAACACCAUUUACAUUGCUGUGGCUGUAGUAACUAGCUGCCCUCAGGCUUAUGCUCACUCUUGCAUGGUGUAGGGUUGAUGCUGAGAAGCGACAGCUCAGGUAGGAACUAUAGUUCCCACUUGAAGGCCAUGCCAGUGAAAAAUGGCCAACGCAGUUGAGAAAGUGUGCUUCUCCACCUUCUAUUCUGUUUGCCAGCUACAUUAAAUGGAUGAGGAAAUGACAGAACCACAAGAUGGAAGUAAUCUGUGUCUCUGAAUGAUACAUGGAACAAGGCUACCUGUCAAUGAGCAAUACUAGGCUUUUAUGUAACAAGAUAUUGUUUUCUAUUUUAUAUGUACUCUGGUAGAACAAACUCUCUCACCUUGUUUUUUAGUUUGUUUUUUUUGAAGGUGUCUUUGCUAUUCUUAUACAUCUAUAUAUCCUCUAGAAUCAGUAAGUUCCCAAACUAAACAAACAAAAACUGGGUUGAGAAUUUGAUUGGAAUUGUACUGAAUCUGAAACUGCCUUUGCAAAGAUUUUGACAGUAAGAGAAAUCUGACAUAGUUGACUUUAUCUUGCUUCUAACCUCCAAGCUGUCCAUGGUCAUUCCUGGGCAUAGGCCAACCUACAUCAGGUGGAAUUUAGUUUAUAGUUCAACUGUAAAGUGAGGAUGAUAGUAGCCUUUCCCAAAACUCUGUAAAACUAGUGAAAGGCUGCAAGGUUAGGAUUAUGAGAGGCUCCUGAAUUCUGAUGAAAUGUAUUUUCUAUAAUCCCUUACUGCUCAAGGGUCACGUGACCAGAGGUCACAAGAUUUGUCACUUCUCCAAUUGCUCCUAUAGGUAACAUCACUACUGUGGAACCUGAGUUUUGUCUUUUGAGAUGUUUUUUCAGAUUUUUGCAUUCUGGCAACCUAUGGAACCAGGGCUCAUAACUCAACCAGUCAUGUGGUUCCACCCAGAUGCAGACUCAGCCCACGAGGCAGCCCACGAGGAUUGUUUUUCACACCUAUAUGAUUUCAUUCCCAGCCAAUCAGCAGCACCCAUUCUCUAGCCACCUGCCCACCAAACUAUCCUCGCAAACCCCUAACCUCCAAGCCUGCAGGAAGACUGAUUUGAGUAAUAACUCUGUCUCCCUCGUUGCCAGUCUUGUGUCAAUGAAACCCUUUCUUUACUGCAAUGCCAUGGUCUCAGUGAACUGAUUUUGUCUGUGCAGCAGGCAGGAAGAACCCAUCAGGCAAUUACAAAUCUAUAGGUCAAUUUGCAGAAAAAUUGAUGUAUCUAAAUUAGUGAGUCUUGCAAUCUAUAAACAUGCUCUAACUCUCUGGUUACCUUAAUGUCUCACAAUAAAGUUUUGUACUUUUGUCCAUAAAGUUCUUGUUUAUCUUUUCCUAGUUUUUCUCCUUAUGAACUUAAUAUUUUUAAUAGUAUUGCAAAUUGAAUCAUUUUAACAUUUCAGUUUCUGCCUGUUGCUGGGGUUAGGGCUCAGAACACAUCACUCCAAAAUAUUCCUCUCUAGCAUAUUGAUUAUUAACUAUUUAUUUAGAGAAACUGCCCGCACAGGAGUUAGCUCUGAAAAGCUGCCCUUUUGUAAAAGAAAUUUAGAUCUAUAAAAGAAAUUUUCACUGGUAAAGGUGUUUUUGAUCAGGAAGAGAGCUGCUCCAAGGCAAUUUUUAUCCCCUGAGAGACUCUUAUCUGCAUAACAAGGCAACCUUUAUUUACCAUGUAUUUACUAUAUGUUUCCUCCUCUCACGCUCCGGUAACUUGCACCACCACUCUCCAGAAGCCCCAAGCCUCUGUUUCUUUCUGUAGCUUAAGAUGCUAUAUAAGCUUUAUUCAUCUGGCCUUUCUUUGAGUCUUAUAUUUUUGUGGGACUCCUAUGUAUACACACAUAAUUUAAUACAGUUUUUCUUGUGUUAAUCCGUCUUAUGUAAUUUAACUUGUAGCCCAGCCACAAAAAACCUAAGAGGGUGGAAGGAAGUCAUUUUUCCCUCCCCUGUGCUGAAAUAUAAAAAUAAAUAAACCAUAUGCCAAUUUUAUAUCUAGCAAUUAUUAAUCUAAAUAAUUAAUUUGCAUAUGUAGGGGUAAAGGGGAAUUUCCCUUUCCCUUUAAGGUUUGAGUUUGCCGAAAUUAACCGAUGGAAGAUUAGCUGCAGAAAAAGGCAAGUUUAUUGUAUUCAUGGGGGAAUGAUGAGAGAGUGACUUCCCAGUAACCCAGUGAGGUUCAGAAUCUAUAUGCCCUUCUUCACAGGAGAGAGAGAGAUGGCGGAAUGUAGGCAAUUUUGAGGAAUAGGAAAUUAUUUUUAGGAGAGUUGAAUGGGCCCAAAGAACCUACCAUAGUUUGUAAAUUAUACUCUUUGGAAACUCUUUGGAGUAUGACAAAGAAUAGACAACAGCUUCUGACAAAGUCUGCCUAGGUGUGGUGACAUCCCUCAGUCUCACUUUCUGCUGUGAGUUUAAUCUUCUCUGGUUAAGAAAAUCUCAGGGAGGUGAUCAAAGUCCACUGGGUUCUUUCUGGAGGAGCUUUGGAUAAGGUAACUUCAGAAAGGAAGAGUUUCAUCCUGCACUUAGGGGCAAAACAGGAGAAGUUAAGAAAGUCCUUGGUUCUGAGGCUGAUUCUAACACCCUUUCAUUUUAUUUGAUUCAAAGUGCCUAGCAUUGGAGGGUGGGUGAGGGGGAAGUUAAUGGUUAAUGGGUAAAAAAAAAAAAAAAAAAUAGAAUGAAUAGGCUGGGCACAGUGCCUCACACCUGUAAUCCUAGCACUUUGGGAAGUUGAGGCGGCAGAUCACCUGAGGUCAGGGGUUGAAGACCAGCCUGGCCAACAUGGCUAAACACCGUUCCUACUAAAAAUACAAAAAUUAGCUGGGCAUGGUGGCAUAUGCCUGUAAUCCCAGCUACUUGGGAGGCUGAGGCAGGAGACUCACUUGAACCCAGGAGGCAGAAGUUGUACUGAGCCAAGAUCAUGCCACUACACUCCAGUCUGGGCGACAGAACAAGACUCGGUCUCAAAAAGAAAAAAGAAUGUAUAAGAUCUAGUUUUGAUAGCACAAAUAUAGGGUGACUAUCAUCAAUAAUAAUUUUAUUGUACAUUUUAAAAUAACUAAAAGAUUUAAAUUGGCUUGUUUGUAGCAUAAAGAAAAAAUGCUUGAAGGGAUGGAUACCCCAUUUACCCUGAUGUGAUUAUUAGGCAUUGGAUGCCUGUACCAAAAUAUCUCAUGUACCCCUUAAAUAUAUACACCUACUACAUACCCAUAAUUUUUUUUUGUUUGUUUUUGAGAUGAAGUCUUGCUCUUGUCACCUAGGCUGGAGUUCAAUGAUGCAAUCUCGGACCACUGUAACCUCUGUAUCCCGGGUUCAAGUGAUUCUCCCGUCUCAGCCUCCUGAGUAGCUGGGAUUACUGGUGCCUGCCAUCAUGCCCAGUUAAUUUUUGUAUUUUUGGUAGAGACAGGAUUUCACCAUGUUGGCCAGGCUGGUCUCAAACUCCUGACCUCAGGCAAUCCACCCACCUCGGCCUCCCAAAGUGCUGGGAUUACAGGCGUGAGCCACCGUGCCCAGCCAUCAUAGAGUUUUAAAAUUGGAAAAAUUGCACUUAAUUAGAUUAACAAUUCUCAAAUGGAAACUCAAUUUGCAAACUAAUUAUUUCUCCUUACUUGAACAUGUGUAUACCAAUAUGCACAUAUACAAAAUCACACAUGAACCCACACAGUAAUGUAUAAAAAAAAUACAGAAUGUGAGAGCUGAAAGAGAUCUUUUGUCUAUAAUCUUCACUUUAGUGAUGAGGAGUAGAAGGAUAAGGUGAUUUGCCAAGCUCCAGUAGCAAGCUUAUGAUAGACACUAAACCCCAAGUUUCUGCAUAUUUGCAGUGAUGUCAUAGGCACUCUGUGUGAUGCUGGUGAACAUUUUAGGUGUGAAAUAGUAAGCAUAAAAUUAGUAAUACCUGGCAAUCUGUUUAAGAUCAUUGACAGGCCUGAGAGUUUUCCAUACGGCCUGCACCCUAACCUCUGGGAAGAAAAUAUCCACAAUGAAAUUUCUACAAGAUUAGAGGAAGGAGAGAGGCAACGGGGAUUCCAUUUCUACUAGGAGUAUCAACCUCUGAGAGGGAUAUAUCCAUCUCUGUGGAUGUCAUCUGCUCUGCAGAAAACCCUUUCUUGGAACUACCAGGAAACAUGAAUCUGAUGUGGACCCUCCUCCUUUUCCUCCUUUUGGACGUAACUGUCUUCAUUCCAGCCCUGCCCUUCUCAACACGACAUUUAGACAACCCCAGGUCGUGGGUCCCUAGAGGACACCACCGAUACUGUGAUGUGAUGAUGAGGUGCCGUUGGCUGAUCUAUAGGGGUAAAUGCGAGCAGAUCCACACAUUCAUUCAUAGAAUCUGACCACCAUAGCAGAUUUCUGCAGAACUCCACCACUGCCCUGUACCAACAGCCCCUCCAUGUGCAGCUGCCACAACAGUACUCAUGAUGUCAAUGUCACUGACUGCUUUGCCAGCACAGGGACCCGACCUCUUCACUGCCACUACCAAAAAUAAGAAGGAGUCCACCAGGCCCAUGCGAGUGGGCUGCAAGAAGGGGGCAUCUGUUCACCUGGAUGGCUAGGUUCCUCCUGACAACGGCACCUGAAUGACUUGCACCCUACGCCUUCAAAUCUGUGCAGCACUGUCAAGGUCUUCUUUGUAAAUGCUUCGUCCUUUGCACGCAGGCUCCUGCGUCUUUCUUACAGCCUGUUCCCCACCAACCCCAUGUGCCCUACCCCUGCCACAGUGUCAGGGCUUUUGGUGGAGGAUAAGGCUGCAGUGGAGGGUUGGUGGGAGGGAGCCUGAAUUACGGAAAUAAUACUCGGGAAAAGACUUGCUCCAACCAAGCUGCUAGACAAUCCCCUUCUCCUGGGGCUGAUCUUCCCACCAGCUGCUCUCAUAAAACCUCCUGAUGGCUGGCCCUAGGUUUCCUGGAUCAUAGGGUCCUUCUGCCUUCUGCGGGACAUUCUAUGCCUUUCUCCUCAAUGGGCUCCUUCGGAGGGUAUUAGGGACGAUACCCUGGCGGGAAACCGCUUCCUUUAGGGAAACAAAUCACUGUGGCUCCAGGGGUGUCACCGGAAAAAGCCGUUUCCGGAGAAGCCGGAGGAGCUUGGGCAACUCCGCAGGCCCAGAGCCUUCGUGGUCUCCCAGUUCCCGUGGCCGUCGUAUUGGUCGGCAGGGGGCGCCGCGCCACAAGCUUCCUGCACAAGAGUCCAAAACUUCUUUCUUGGUUUCCUUUGAGACAGGCUGCAGGUUUCUUGGUUGCUGACACGGGUAGACGAUAAUAGGUGAAUAAACAAAAUCCAGCCAGCAUAAAUACAGUCUAACUGUUGAAGAACAGAUUUCUGAGUCUACCAUAACUUUCAUACACUGCAGCACUUUAACGUUGAACCUGCCACCUUCAGAUUCACACUGCAGCACCUCAGGUAAGAAGGAAAGGAAGUGAAUAUGCACUGAGGACCUACUUGUGUUAUGAGCUUUACAGUUCAGCUGCGCUGGAGAAGAGUUUAUUUCUUUCAUGGAAUCCAUUACAUCACCGAUCCCCUUCUGAAGGAGGUUAUUUUAUCCACGAGAGGAAGCAUCCAAAGGUGUUCAUAUUCUCUACCCUGUGACUCCAGCAGAAUGGUGACAAGGUUUUGAAGCAAAGGAGGGCACUUGACUCUAGGGCAGCCGUCCAUUAACUGACUAGCCCGGUGCCUGUGGAACAGAGUUGCGUGAGGAUUUUACCCUUUUGGAAUAAUCCAGUGACAAAACUGGAUACUAUUACUUUCAUUCCUUCCCCCGAUGCCAGGAGGUAUAGCUGUUUUGCCUUUGUUCUUGACAUUCAGCACUUAGCCUAAUGCUCGCUAUAAAAGUGCCUUCAAGAAAUCUUUAAGGGGCCAUUUUGGUAGGUCUGGUUGUUGCUGUGGAUCUUUUGUAGAUGCCCAUUUUUAGAUUAGAAAAGUUUCUUCCCUUCUGCUCCUGUUUAUGUCUCUUGAAUGGAUUGGGAAUUUCGUUGAAUGAUGGGAUUAUACAGCAUAUUUCUUUAAUCAGUUAAUGGGGUGAAUUAGAUUAGUUGAUUUUAGAAUACUAAACCAACCUUGUAUUCCUGGGAUAAACCCAUUUUGGUUAUGUGAUAUAAUCUUUUUUAUAUAUGACUAAAUUUAAUUUGCUAAUAUUUUGUUAAAUUUUUUUUGCAUUUAUGUUCACGAAUGAGAUUGGUCUGUAAUUUUUUGUAUUGCCUUGUUUAAUUUUGGUAUCUAGGUUAUAUGUUAGCUUCCAGAUGGGUCUUCCUAUGUUGCCCAGGCUAGUGUGCAGUGGCUAUUCACAGGUGCAAUCACAGAGCAUACCUCGAAUUACUGGUCUCAACUGAUCCUUGAACACUCGGUCUCAGGUGCCUCAAACUCCUGGGCUUGAACUCCUGAUCUCGAAUAAUCCUGCUGCCUCAGCCUCCAGAGUAGCUGGGUCUACAGGUACACACCACCAGGCUUAGCCUCAAACUAUUUUAAACUUCUGUUUCAAUUUCCUUAAUGGUUAAAGAGAUGCUAACUUUUCCAUUUCUUCUUGAGAAAGCUUUGGUAGAUUGUUUUUUCCCACGUAGGAAUUUAUCCAUUUCGUCUAAAGUUCCCAAAUAUAUUAGCACAAAGUUAUUCAUAAUCUGUUUAAUAUUUAUAGCAUUGAUUUUAUGUCCUAUUUUUAUUCUGACUUUUUUGUACCUUUUUUAUUGAUAAAACUUUUGAGGUGUGUCUCUCUUAUUAGACAGAGAUUUUUUCAGACAUGCAGAAGCGAGUACUUAUAAACUCAUGUAGAAACUUUUUUAGAAUGGGUCCGUCUUUUUUUUUGAGAUUGAGUCUCACUCAGUCACCCAGGCUGGAGUGCAGUGGCACAAUCUCGGUUCACUGCAACCUUCGGUUCCUGGGUUCAAGCAACUCUCCUUCCUCAGCCUCCUGAGUAGCUGGGAUUACAGGCAUGCGCCACCACACCCAGCUAAUUUUUGUAUUUUUAGUAGAGACAGGGUUUCACCAUGUUGGCCAGGCUGGUCUUGAAUUCCUUACCUCAGGUGAUCUGCCCUCCUCAGCCUCCCAAAGUGCUGGGAUUACAGGUGUGAGCCACCGUGCCUGGCCAGGUCCACCUCUUGAGCCACACAGAUCUGCUUCCCCAGACAGGUUCAAGAGACAACUCCUCCAGGCUUCCUACCAGUCUCUGUUCCUGAAGGGAAACUUAAGAGGAAGUUUACUGUGGACAAACAAACUGUAGUCACUGUCAAUGCCGCAGAUCUUGGGGCUGUAACUAGCACCCAUCCACUCCUUCCUUUACUAUGUAUUCUAAUCUCCCUUUACCCUUAGGUCUUAGUUGCUUAUUCUUAUUUACCCUCUCACCAGUUCUGAGGGUUAAGCCCUUGGUAAUCAUAUUUUUCUCAGGCUGAGGUGGCUACACACUUACAUUCACAGUUAAAAUGGAGCAUGGGAGUAACAGAAAGCACCCAAGUAGAUUACUUGGGUUCUACAUAAAUUCUUUUCUGCCUCUAUUGGGUAAAAGCAGCCCUACCUCCCUCCUGCUAAUCAAGGUUACUUAGCCUUGACAGUAUGGCAACUCCUCUUCACGUCUGCUGGUCCCUAGACACGAGAAAUCCAAAGUGUCCUGGGAAAAGCUGUAGCUUGCAGUUCAAUGAGACCUUUCUGUGUAAGUUGGCAAGGGUGCAUCUUCUUUGGGGACCUGGACCUUUGACCCUGCAGAGCCUAGAGUUACAGAAAUGAAAGCACAACAUAUCUGAGUGGGUCAAUCAGAGAGAUGGUAAGUGGAGCUACUCCUGCUUCUACUUCUCGGUUCCUGGAUCCGUGUAUUCUUCCUAUUGGGAACACAGUACCCUUUACAGGCCUCUGAUUUAAUAAAUACACUGCAUCCUGAAGAAUGAUACCCCAUACUUUCAUAAUGUUACCUCUUAGCUGCUGCUUCAGCUGUGUCUUUGGAAAGUCAGUUUCUCUUCUUUCCUCCCUCCCUCCUUUCUUUCUUCUACCCUCCUUUCUUCUUUUCUCUCUUUUCCGUUCCUUCCUUUCCUCAUUUCUCUUUCUCUUUCUUCCUCCCUCCCUCCCUUCCUUUCUUUCCUUGAGCUGAAAUGGCUUGCACCUUCCUUUUCCCACAUAAACACCAAUGGACUCUUCCCAUUAGUCCUCUAGUUUCUUCCAGAGGUAGGUGAAAUUAUUGAAGAGACUUCAGCAGAAAUUAGGGAAGAUCUUCUGAACUGUGAUUAAAUGGAGUGUGGUCGUUUACCUAAUUAUCCUUGGUUAUCACCUUCUGUGAUUGUGAUUUUACUUAUUAAGCAGCAGAGCCAUCUGGCGAAGACCUGCAUUACUUUUUAAUCUUAUGCUUGCCUUUUGUCUUUCCCAGAUUUGAUAAAUGGUUGGUCCUUAUGAUCCACUGAUGCAGACUACUUGGGAGGUCCCAAUGUCCUGGUGCCCAAAGGCAAGAUCAUUUUUCCCCCUGCAGUGUUUCUGUCUAUCAUGAUGAUGUGAGUGGGCUCUUAUUGGGGGUGCCUAAUGCUGCCAUAAAGAAAGAGUUUUCUUGGCUUGGUGCAGUGGCUCACGCCUGUAAUCCCAACACUUUGGGAGGCUGAGGCAGGCGGAUCACGAGGUCAAGAGAUCAAGACCAACCUGGCCAACAUGGUGAAAUCCUGUCUCUACUAAAAAUAUAAAAAUUAGCUGGGCGUGGUGG
rnacentral:lncRNA from 10 species